CUUAGCCAUGGGACUGUACCUGGGUGUGACAGGGGAGCCAGGGCACCCUUCAGAGGUGAGGUCUGAGCAGCACCAACCCUGUAAGCCCACAAGAAGCUGGGCUGGGUGCUUUCUGUUCCUCCAGCCCAGAAUAGUGGUCUUCCCUGGGUCCAGGGACACCAGCCCUGUCACAGGGAAGGAACUGGUUGUACAUGUGACUCACGGUAAUUCACGCAAAUUUGAUGCUUCUGCUGUCAUGAUUUCUCAAGGCAGCAAUUUCAGGCCAGGAGGCAUGGGCAGUGGGGCUCAGUAUUAAGUGAUGGUUUGCAUGCCUUUUUUCAACCUGGCAAUGAGGACAGCAGCAAGGCCAACGUGCUUCACCAGCAAGGGACAUUCAUGUUCCCAUAUGACUUUGGCAUGGAGAAGAGAGAAAAAGAAAACCAUACCUGCUGGGCAGCAGCUGCUUUGCUCUGACUUCUCCCUUGAGAUUCACUCUGGACAAUCAGGAGUGACAGAUCCACCUGAAGCUGUUUUGCUUCAAACCUGUCGUGGCUGCCUUGUUAUCGGCGGAAGUGGGAGUCUUGGCUCAGUCUCUUCUAUUUCCCAGGAGUGAACACAGCUCUCAGAGCUCCCAGGUCAGCCAGUUCUAAAGCCGGUUCCAAGUGGCCCCCACGGUUACUCUUAAGUCCCAAGUCCAGAACUUGAACUAGUAAACGAGCAGAUUACCAUAUUUACUCUGGUUAUGGCUCCUUCCUUUUCUCUUCAGUUGUCUACUGUGAAACCCAGAAUGGGAGGAACAAUGCAAGUGUCUGCUUUGAGAUAUUCUGGGCAAAUUGUAUGUGUCCAAGGGUCUCUGGGCUUUCCAUGCUGAAGGCAAAGUUCAUUUCAAUCAAAUCUCUUUAACACUUUCGAGUCCUGAGCCACCUUCCUGGACAGCGUUACUUUGUGUGAAAGAGAGUGAAGUCUUGAAUUCCAACCAACUCCUGGUGUUUAUGUGAAAAGAAGACAGGACUCAGGAAGACAGCCUGGGUGUGACAAGAAGGGGCUGUGCACAGUUGACACAGGCGACCCUGCCUCCAGCCUCAGGCCAGAGGCAGACUGAGCAAGGAGAACCGCCCAUGGGAGAGUUCUGAGGACCUUUCCUUCUCUUGCCAGGCCUGGGAAGCAUUGCUGUAUGAACACCACUGUACAGGAGGUUGUUUUGGGGAUUGCUCAGGGGGAAUCUAGAACUAAUAAAAUACUGGGUUCAGGUCCCAGUGGCGGCAGC
rnacentral:lncRNA from 1 species